rnacentral:rRNA from 1 species
GACGUAGGGCGCGAGCGUUGUCCGGAUUUAUUGGGCGUAAAGGGCUCGUAGGCGGUCUGUUGCGUCGGGAGUGAAAAUUCACAGCUUAACUGUGAACUUGCUUCCGAUACGGGCAGACUUGAGGUAUUCAGGGGAGAACGGAAUUCCUGGUGUAGCGGUGAAAUGCGCAGAUAUCAGGAGGACACCGGUGGCGAAGGCGGGUCUCUGGGACGU